rnacentral:rRNA from 1 species
GUUCAGAUUGCAGGCUGCAACCCGCCUGCAUGAAGUCGGAAUUGCUAGUAAUCGCGGAUCAGCAUGCCGCGGUGAAUACGUUCCCGGGCCUUGUACACACCGCCCGUCACACCAUGGGAGCCGGUAAUACCCGAAGUCAGUAGUCCAACCUCGUGAGGACGCUGCCGAAGGUAGGAUUAGCGACUGGGGUGAAGUCGUAACAAGGUAUC